UGAAGUCAAGGCUGUAAAACCCUAUAAAAGGAGGAGUUGUAACCCCCUGUGUAGUCUAUUCAGGUGCAGUUUAUAUGGGAUCGACCCUUAUUGUCUUAACCCUCAAGUCUGUCUCUGCCCGGCAUGUGACACGCUGAUCACUAAGGAGCGAUCCAAGAGCUUGGCGGAUCACCCAUUGGAGCUGGCGCUGUUUCCUCCACCCCACCUUUGUUUCCUCAGCAGCUCAAGCUCGGAAAGUCCUUCAGCCCUGUUGGAAGGCCAGGGAAGCUGCUGAGGUGUUCCAGACUGAAUGCGGAUGCUCUCCCAGCAGCCCCAAAUCACAGCCGCCUUGGUUCUCAGCAAAGUGCAGGGAAGUGUAGGCUCAGUGGCUCAUGAAGGAAGAGGUUCUGUCCCAGAGGCCUUGGGAUUGAGUCCCUCUCAGCACCACAGGGAUGGGGAGAAGCCUGUGGGAAAUGAGCUCUGAUGCCCAAGUUCACCUCAACACUGUCUCCUGCAGGCUGACUGUCCACAGCUGUUGCCUGACUUUGAUCUCUGUCAAAGCAGUCCCCUCUUCCCUAUUGGGUUUCAUCUGAUGUUUGCAUUUAGAAUCUAAGGCCCAUUUCUUUAAGAGGUUCUAACAGAAACUAAGUGCUUGUGCUAGACUAAAAGUCACACCCAGAGUGGGUGGCCUAGAUCCUGGUUUUUUGUGUUUGUAUGUGUGUGGGGUGGUACUGAGAAUGAACCCAAAGCCUUUUCACUCUAGUCCUUCUCUUUGUUUGUUUUUUGAGAUUCAGUCUUGCUAAGUUCUUAAAUUGCCCAGUUGGGGCUCAAAUUUGCUACUCUCCUGCCUCAGCCUCCCAGGGCCCUGAGAUUACAGGUGUGCACCACCAUGUCCGGCUCCAUUUUCAUCUCAUGGAUGAGGUCACUGUGACUCAGAGAGGCCUGUAAGCAUCCAUGACAUAUGGUCAAACUGGGAUUGGAAGCCAGUCUGACUCCAGUGCCCAGGUUCCUUACCCCUCUGUCAAGGAACACAUUUAAUGUGGCUGGAGUGAUACCUGGCCUACAGAGGCUGGGGAUUUGAGAUCGGAGGGCCUUAGGAUCCUAGGGGCCAUGGAGGUGUGACCAAAACAAGGAUUUCAGCCCCGACACAAGAAUACAGGAUGGAGUCACACCCCGAGGGUGUGAAUGGGCACUCAGCCAGGAGUCUGAGUGGGGAAUUCACAUAGUAUCUCUCACAAAGGUGGCCUCAUGCAUGGGCAUUUUAAAAAAUGAAUCCAUAAGCCAGGAACAUUUGUCUAAAUACUUUAAUUAAAAUGCACUGUAAUAUGAA